CAAAACACUAGCUUACAUAAAACCACAAACUACCAACAACCAAAACAAAAACAUUUCAGCCAGCCAAGUAUAUGAGAUAGAACCGCUCCACCACCACGCCAUAGUAAAUAGUACCGAAAGGGAAACCUGAAAGAACUAAAUGAAACCCAAAGCAAAAAAAAGCAGAGAUAAACCCUCGUACCUCCUGCAUCAUGGUCUAGCAAGCAACACCAGAUAAAAUGAAUUACACCCGUCCACCCGAACCCAGUCGAGCUACUUCAAGGCAGCUAUUAGAGCAAACCCAUUUCUGUGGCAAAAGAAUGGGAAGACCAUGAAGUCAGAGGUGAAAAGCCAACCGAGUCUGGUGAUAGCUGGUUGCUCAAUAAACGAAUCUCAGUUCAACUUUAGGGCCAAACACUAACCCACCUAUAGAGCCACACAGCCCUAAAAGCUAUACAAUGUGGGUACAGCCUCAUUGCAAUCGAAUACAGCCGAAAAUAGAGAGGACAUAGCCCAAAAACACCAGUAGGCCUUAAAUCAGCCACCAAAAAAAAUCACGUCAAAGCAUUUACUCAAAAAAUCCCACAACUACACAACACCUCCUACCAACCCACAGAGCCAUCCUACCACUGUAGGAGAACCAAUGCUAAAACUAGUAAUAAGAAUAACAUCUCUAUUAGCACACUACUAAAUCAGAACUCGAUACCCCACUGAAAUUUAAUCAGACUUCAACAAAGGCUAAUAAACCAACUAAAACACCUUAACACUAAAACUGUUUCUCCAACACAGGCGUGCCUACUAGACAAAUUAAAAGCCAUAAAAGGAACUCGGCUAACAUGUCCCAACUGUUUACCAAAAACAUAGCCUUUAGCACCACAAGUAUUAAAGGUGCUGCCUGCCCAGUGAACCCUAAUUUCAACGGCCGCGGUAUCCUAACCGUGCAAAGGUAGCGUAAUCACUUGUCUUCUAAAUAAAGACUCGUAUGAACGGCCAAAUGAGGACCUAACUGUCUCCUAUGACUAAUUAAUGAAACUGAUCCCCCAGUACAAAAGCUGGGGUACAUCCAUAAGACGAGAAGACCCUGUGGAGCUUUUAACCACCAUACUACCCCUAACCAACCAUCAACAGAUACACCCAAAACCCAUAGUACCUAAUUUAAGUUGGGGCAACUACGGAAAAAGAAAAACUUCCAUACCACAGGCCCGCCUGUACAAAGACCAACACGUCAAAGUACCAAACACUUGACCCAGUAUAACUGAUCAAUGAACCAAGUUACCCCAGGGAUAACAGCGCAAUCCCCUUUCAGAGUCCAUAUCGCCAAGGGGGCUUACGACCUCGAUGUUGGAUCAGGACACCCAGAUAGUGCAACCGCUAUCAAAGGUUCGUUUGUUCAACGAUUAAUGUCCUACGUGAUCUGAGUUCAGACCGGAGCAAUCCAGGUCGGUUUCUAUCUAUGCCCAAACACUUCUUCAGUACGAAAGGACCAAGAAGACAAGACCAAUAUUAAAAACACGUCUUGCCAAAAUUGAACCAAACUAAAAUACCUCGAACCAAACUGCCUCAAGAUAAGAGGCC
rnacentral:rRNA from 1 species